GACGUAGGGCGCAAGCGUUGUCCGGAAUUAUUGGGCGUAAAGAGCUUGUAGGCGGUUUGUCGCGUCUGCUGUGAAAUCUCAAGGCUCAACCUUGAGCUUGCAGUGGGUACGGGCAGACUAGAGUGUGGUAGGGGAGACUGGAAUUCCGUGGUGAUAGCGGUGAAAUGCGCAGAGUAUCAGGAGGAACACCGGUGGCGAAGGCGGAUC
rnacentral:rRNA from 1 species